UACAGAGGUCCCAAGCGUUUGUUCGGAAUCACUGGGCGUAAAGGGCGCGUAGGCGGGGAGGUAAGUCGGGUGUGAAAUCCCUCGGCCCAACCGAGGAACUGCGCCCGAGACUGCUUCUCUUGAGUCCCGGAGAGGAAGAUGGAAUUCCCGGUGUAGCGGUGAAAUGCGUAGAGAUCGGGAGGAAGGCCGGUGGCGAAGGCGGCGCUCUGGAACGUUUCUGACACUGAGGCUCGAAAGCGUGGGGAGCAAACAGG
rnacentral:rRNA from 1 species